rnacentral:tRNA from 1 species
GGCCUCGUAGCGCAGCUGGUAGAGCAUGCGCUGCACAAAAGCGUAGGCGACGCCCAUGCGUGGGUUCGAAUCCCACCGAAGCUA